AAAACAAUUACUGUUCAUUGUAUGACUUUUCACUUUUAUUGUGUCCAAAUCAUGUACAUCUCUAGACAGAAUCUAUGCGUUCUCUUCUCAAAUGCAAAACUUAUCUGCAGUCACAGCUGGGCUGUUUUCUCCAAACAUCACAAUUCAUUAGACUUUAUGUGAAUACAUGGUAAUGUGGUAAUUUGCUACUUUUGUGAUAUAUAUACUAGUUUGUUG